CCUACGGGGGGCAGCAGUGGGGAAUAUUGCACAAUGGGGGAAACCCUGAUGCAGCAACGCCGCGUGAAGGAAGACGGUUUUCGGAUUGUAAACUUCUGUGCGUAGGGAAGAAGAAUGACGGUAGCUAAGGAGCAAGCCACGGCUAACUACGUGCCAGCAGCCGCGGUAAGACGGAGGUGGCAAGCGUUGUCCGGAAUUACGGGGUGUAAAGGGAGCGCAGGCGGGAAGCCAAGGCAGCGGUGAAAACUACGGGCUUAACUUGUAGACUGCAGUUGAAACGGGUUUUCUUGAGUGAAGUAGAGGUUGGCGGCAUUCCGUGUGUCGCGGUGACAUGCGUCGAUAUUCGGCGG
rnacentral:rRNA from 1 species